rnacentral:tRNA from 2 species
GCAGCUUUAGCUCAGUUGGGAGAGCGUUAGACUGAAGAUCUAAAGGUCCUGUGUUCAAUCCACAGAAGCUGCA